GAAGAAAGAAGCAUAGCCCCAAGUCCCUAGCCCUAAUCCCUUAUUCAUUUCAGAUCUGCUUCUCCAUUUCUCGCCUACUCCACUCCACACUAUCACAAUUCUGCUCGGUUUCUUAGUCCACUCGGUUUCUGCUUCUCCGUCCUCCGACGCCAACGCCCUCGCUCCUACCCGUCUCCCUCACAAUCUCUGGCCCUCAGCCAGUCAGAGCACUAGAGCAAUUAGAUGCAGAGGGCAGCGGCGCAGCCAGGAAACGAGGGCUGAUGGGGAGGCGCGGACUGUGGAGGCGAGCGGCGGGCGGCGUUUGAUGCGCUGACUGCGGAGGCGGGAGGUGAGUGAGAGGUGAGGCACGGAAGUGGCUGCCGACUGCAAACGACGCCGCGACGGAAGGUGGCCGUUCAAUCGUUCAUAAAUUGGUAAACGGUAAAGACUAUGUAUUUGAUAUUUUGAUGGGUUCUCCAGAGUCCAGAGCAUUAAGCAUAAAUUGAGGUGCAAUGUUUAUAUAAUUAUUUUAUAUAAUUAUAUCACCUAAAAAAUCCAAAGCAUUAAGCAUGCCUACACUACUUGUCAUGGUGUCACAUUGAGCCUUGUGCCGUUGUGUAAUGUGCAUAUGCCUUUUCAGAGGCUCUGAACCAGAGCUAGUACACUAUGUCAUAAAUAUAUAUUACUUUUCAGA